rnacentral:pre_miRNA from 1 species
AGGAGCAACAGCCCUAGUGGCGGGGCAGCUCUGGAAACCUGGAUUCAGCCCCCGCAGGAACCCCGGAGGUCUCCGUCUGCAGGGCCUGGAGGCUCCGGGGCGGG